CAUCGAGUGAAUCAAGGAAAAAACUGAAGGUGCCGUUUUUGUUGACCUUGAGAUCCGCCAUUUUCUAAAGAGAUAAAAAAAAACAAAAAAAAAAGAUACAAACACAAAAAAAAGCUGAAAUACAAAAAAAACGCUAAGGAAAAAAGCUAAAAAGAGAGCCAAAAAAUACAUCUAGACCUAAGAGACAAAACAUAUUCGGUGUAAUUCUCAGAAAAUACACGACCCCCCUCCCUUUGAGCCAUCAUCUUCUUCAGAAGCAAACAACCAGAGCAAAAACAAAAACAAAAAAAAAACCUAGGCUGUAGAACACAAAACGACCCCCUAUCGAUCCCCAUUCCCAUCAUCGCUGCUCCUCCUUCUCUUCACCCUCACCUCGCCGGAAAACAACACCAGCCGCUGCUCAUUCUCACAAGACCGUUCGAGCAGCAACACCCGUCCCCUCAUCCUCACAAAACCAGUCAUUUCCCUGAGCUCACUCCAUCAGCUACUCGAACAAGCAGCGACCAAACGGACAUGAACCAGCUGACCCUUAUUCAUCCUCUCCUUCAGCCUACAACAUCUCGUCGUCGUCUCAUGCCUAGACACAACACCGUUACAACAACCAAAUUUUAAUCCAAAAAAUAGUGAAGUUUCUGCUUCUUCUCUUUGGUUCGAUCUCGAUUUUUUUAGUUUCAAAUUCAUAGAUUCCAUUUUGAAGCUCGUUUGGAAAGUUGUUUGGAGCCGAGAUGUUGGAAGCGAUUUGAAGUCGUUGUUCAGUUCCGUUUGAGAUUCCGACGAGGUUCCGGCGCUGCUACAUUUUCUGUUCGAUUUCAGCUAGUCAAAGGUGGUCGGUUUGUUGGUUUGCAAUGGCGAGUCACAAGAACAAUCCAAGAUCUCUCGGAAAUAAAAGUAUCUUCUCAACCAAGGGAAUACGCACCAUUGUUGUUGAUCCAGGGUCACAAAAAGGCAAGUAGGCAAGUUGGCGGUGAAAAAUUUAAAAUGGAGGCAAAUGUGGGGUUGACUUUACCAGAUUUGAGCAAUAGGACAUGGGCUGCUCAGGAUGAUCGUCAAAAUUUGAGUGUUGAAUCCAAAGCAAUUAAAAUGGUUAAAUGCCGUAGUAAUGCUGAUAUGCGAAUGUGUGGCUAAGAUGUUGCUUAGUAACUGAAAAGUCACUCCUCUUUUAGCCAUGGUAGCUUAUUUUAUCAUUUUUUUCUUCUUCUUUUGUGUUAUUGGACCCUGCUAUCCUUUAUUCAAUAAAAAUCAGUCAGUCAUUUUGUGUCCA